UACGAAGGGGGCUAGCGUUGUUCGGAUUUACUGGGCGUAAAGGGCGCGUAGGUGGCGACCCAAGUCAAUGGUGAAAGCUCGAUGCUCAACAUCGAGUCGGCCACUGAUACUGGGUUGCUCGAGCACUGUAGAGGCAGAUGGAAUUCCGGGUGUAGCGGUGGAAUGCGUAGAGAUCCGGAAGAACACCGGUGGCGAAGGCGGUCUGCUGGGCAGUUGCUGACACUGAGGCGCGACAGCGUGGGGAGCAAACAGG
rnacentral:rRNA from 1 species